UACCCCGGGUGCGUCCAAUUACCUGUGAGGGCAUAUUAGGUGACGAAGGAGACUGCAGCGGUAUACUUUGUCAGGUCAUGAACGCCAGAAUCUUGGAAAUAGCCACCUUAAACUGUUUUACCCUCGCAUACGUCGAAGUGUCGAUCUUCCAGCAAAUCAAGAAUAUUUCCUGUCUUCACGUGCGUUCCUAAAGUGUUUCGAUCGGCGCACAUGCGAUAUUAAGAUCCACCGUAGCAUCGGGAAACAUACCGGGUGUUCCGGCUUGCGAAAUCUUAUUUGAGGAAGAGGCGAUGAGAUAGAGGCGAGGAAACGUCGUUUCAAUAGCACUACAUUGAAUACAAAUAAGCGGACGUGGAGGGAAACAGAAAAACAAUAACAAUGAUAAAUAUGAAAUUCCUUGCGGCGUAAUGGGGAACAGGGACGAGUGAUAUUGGCAUGGGAGCAGGAAAACCACGACUGGAAUUCGCGUUUUUCGAUAUUAAAUAACAGAAUUUGUAUUCUGCAACGAUUCUGUUAUGAACCGCUUUGCCGCUUCUGCAGAACUCCGAACUAGAAACGCAAAUAUUAUUUCAACCGUACCUUCUGCGUACAUAUUCUUGCAUGCCUCGUGGAACCAGUUAAAUGUGUGUUCAUUUGGCAUGUAAUUGAUCAUGAUCCGUUCAUGAAAAUGUAAAAGAUAUUCUAAGUGUGAAAGAUAUUCUUAUUUUAGUAGUUUGAAAUUUUUGUUUGAAACAGUUGUUGGAAAUAAAUUCUUAAAUAGA